rnacentral:sRNA from 1 species
AUGAAGGGUGUAUAAUUCAUUGUCUUUUAUUUAUCCAUAUAACAGGUGGUGGCAAUGCAAGCUCCAGCAUUACUCUGCCAACAUCCUUGAUUCUUGUCCUGUAGAGAUCACUUCUAGGAUGUGUAUAUAGUUUAAUUUCAUGCCCAUUCCAUCUUUGGCCUCU